AUGGGCCCAUCUUCUCUCAUCUACACAUCUGGGGCUGUGGAAUAUCAGACAGGCACAGGCAGGGAACCAUCGGUGUCUAUUACUGUCCUCAGCUGUCUUACAUGCACACUGGGAAGGGGAAUUGUGAGUUCCCUACUGCAAGAGAGAACUAGGGCUGCAGGUCUACAUCUUUCCCUUGAAACUGGAGUGCUAGUAAGGGGCCUGAAGAUGCUAACGUUCCAGAACAUAACCAUCGUGCAAGAGAGAUUCUCUUCUGCUUCUAUAAAUGUGUCGUCACUCACUUUUUGAAAUACAGUAAAUGCUGUUGUUUAUUCUGCUCAACAGAUAACAGAAAAUAGCUCAGUAAGUGCUACAGAACUCCAUCAUUCUCUUAAAUACAUAUACAAAAGAAUCGCAAACACCAGGAAGAAGUAACUAAUUAUACUAUAGCAUCAUGCACUGAAAUGAAGGAUGGUCUGCCCUCUUGUGUCUCAGUAUUUUAAAUUCUAAUGGUAUAACAAAUUCAGUCUUUCUGUGUUUUCUGACAAGUGCAUUAUGUAGAAAUUAACAUUGUUUAUGUCAUAAGAUGAAACCAAAUGCAAUAUUACAGAAAAGAUCAAAACCGAAGAAAAGGGGUAAAAUUAUUUGGAUAUCAUGCCUGCCUUUAUAUAAUCUCUCAUGAAUACUUCAGCAACUGAAAAUGAAGUAUAAAUUGAGCUGCUAACAUUCCAAAUGUGUUGAUUGUAAAAUAUUUACCUGUUAUGUUUUGUAUGUUUUUACUUUUGGGCUGUAAUGAGGAAUGAUCUUUAUUCUGUGUUCUUUUUCUAAAGACUUUUUUUCUGUUAAGUGUUAUUUAUAAAGCAGUUAUCUUUGUUACAAAAAAGCUUUCCUACUUAUUUUAGUCUUUGUAUUAUAAGAAAUGAAAUUAAUUUAAAUAAGUUCCCAAAGGUCUUUGAAGUGUGAGUUUAAAAUGUGUGCCUUGUUUUAAAGCAUUUAUUUAAAUAAGGAAGCUGAAAUAUUCUAAAAGUAUAAACCUAGAUAGGAGCUGCCAUUAUUCAGAAGUGGGUAUUUCCUCUUCAGUUGCCUGCACAAUCAUAUGAUUAAGCAGAAGUCAGUCCCAUUGAAUUCAUUGGGGCUUAUACCUUGAAAAUGACCAUAAUACUGCAGCCUCUUUCAUUAAUUUCUAUAAUAUUCCUUGCAUAAUGACGUAAAAGAAAAGGAGAGAAAUAUUGUCAGUUUGCUUAACAUGCAUAAUCUGGGUCAGAAGCAUCCAGUUAAUAUGAGCAAGGUCUCAAGAGACAACAUGAUG
ensembl:lncRNA